rnacentral:sRNA from 1 species
UUUCUUUUCUUUUCCAAAUAAGCUUGAACCUAUGUCCAACUCAAUCACAAGAACACAUUUAAGCGAGUAAUACAACCAUGUCGUAAGUUUAGGAACAUAAUAAGAAGCCGGAUAGGUUGAAUAAAUAACGGCUUUGAAUGGUAACUCAUUAUCAAAGUUGUACAAACUGUACAACUUUGACAGUUACCAUUCAAAAAAACUUUAUCAAAAACGUUACAAAAAGUUUUAUUCUAAACUUUUCUGUACAGCUCUUUUAGACAGUUUUGUACUAUUUCGUAACAGUUUACCGCUCCAGCUAACAGCUAAAGUUUUGUGUUACCAAUCAGACCCAACAUGAUUUAAGUUGUUUUGGUGAGUACAUUUUUAAGUGAAGAGAGACUAGAAUGGAUUUUGAACGAAAAGGAUAGAGAACUAAGAGAAGAGUUACAAUAUGAAUGGCCAUG